GGAGGAGGCGGCAGGGGCGGGCGGCCCGCACCAGCCAUGCCGAAUAAAAACAAGAAGGAGAAAGAACCAGCAAAAUCGGGGAAAAGUGGAAAAAG